rnacentral:ncRNA from 2 species
ACAUUUACCGAAAAUUAAGGUUUUGUUCUUUUUGAGAACAAAUUAAAAGGGAAUUCGGAUAAAUACCGAAGCUGUUCCCGCAACUGUAAGCUAUUAGCUUGUAAUUAAUCUUUAUGUCACUGUCUUUAUUUAGAUGGGAAGGCCAAUUACAAGACGCAAGCCAGGAGACCUGCCUAGAUUUAAAACAUUAU